rnacentral:rRNA from 1 species
GGUUGCGAUCAUACCAGCACUAAUGCACCGGAUCCCAUCAGAACUCCGCAGCUAAGCGUGCUUGGGCGAGAGUAGUACUAGGAUGGGUGACCCCCUGGGAAGUCCUCGUGUUGCUACCC